AUUGCAUUCUCUUAAAAGAAACCAGGUGACUUUCGUAUCUUCUACUUACACAUUUCAUAUUCAGCAUCUCUUGAAAACUGCUGAAAACUUAAAAAGAGGAUGUUAAUUAUUGCUCGACCAUUUGUCAUGUCCAAUAAUACUUACCUCUUCCUCAGGGCAGGGUCACACGGAAGGGUCCGGCUGUAAAACACAACCGAAAACCCUUCCCCACAGUCUUCUCCAAAAACCUCUUGUUGCUGUUUCAGUCUGAGUGGAAACAGACACAGGAAUGUCUGUUUCCGUCUGAACGGAAACAGACAUUCCUGUGGCUGACUCAGACGGAACAGACACACUAGCGUCUGUCUCAGGUGAAACAGACGCAAGAGGGACUGUUCCCGCCAAAGAAACAUCAACAAGAGAAAUGUCACGCUCGAAGAAAGGGGGCCCUAACCGGGCCGCUCGCUGCUGAAGGAAGAUGCGUGCAGCUUCCACACUGGAAGCUUCGCCAGCAGCACCAGGAGGACGAGGUCGGUUGAGACGGCCCCACCCGGCAAACUGGUCUAAAAACGAGGGGUCACCCGCACCAUCGCUCGAACCGACCCUUAGACAAGGAUCAGAGAAAGACCGCUGCCACACCACCACUGAGGGUACCUUAUCCUUGAUCUCUGGGGAGGUCGCAGAAGCUACGUGACGAG
rnacentral:lncRNA from 1 species